UACGAAGGGGGCUAGCGUUGCUCGGAAUCACUGGGCGUAAAGGGUGCGUAGGCGGGUCUUUAAGUCAGAGGUGAAAUCCUGGAGCUCAACUCCAGAACUGCCUUUGAUACUGAGGAUCUUGAGUACGGGAGAGGUGAGUGGAACUGCGAGUGUAGAGGUGAAAUUCGUAGAUAUUCGCAAGGACACCAGUGGCGAAGGCGGCUCACUGGCCCGAUACUGACGCUGAGGUGCGAAAGCGUGGGGAGCAAACAGG
rnacentral:rRNA from 1 species